CAUAAGUAAACUUAAUAAUUGAAGUAUCAACUUAAAUUUCGCAUCAACGGUAUCAAUUCCCCAACUAGUCAAAGUAGAAUGGAAAAAAUUAAUAUCACUAGAUAAAGUCAGUAAAUUAAUCACUUUCGAUAAAAAACAAAAAAUUGUGCGUACUUUUGCAACAACAAAGCGCCAGCCGCUGUGACUUUGGAACGAAAAGCAAAACUUAUAAGCAUUGCAGCAAGCAUUGUUGCCGUCUUUUGUUUUAAGGCCAAUAACGAGGGAUCAUAAGGUCCUAAUCUAUGAUAUAGGUUUUUUAUAUAAUCUAAAUAAUUUUGAACAUUCCUAGUCAUUGAUUGACGAAGCUCGGUAGAAGAAUCAAUUUGUUCUUCUGUCAUAGCAUAAGAAAUUUGCCUAUACGGACUUAAAAUAAUUUCCAAAUGGUCUCCUAGUGCAUGCACGGUCGCGUAAAAUACAUCAUUAACGGCACAUUCAAUAACGGAGAUUGAGGAACUUAGAAUGUUAACCGUUUCUCUUCGAGAUGACGCGGUCACUCCAGUAAACGGAAUCACUAUUGACAUUAAAUAUGCAGAAAAAUAUCCCAUAAUUUUCUUACAUUCCCUAAUGUCCACUAGGUAAUGAAGAUCCAAGUUUUUCGACUUAUCAUGUGAAGAGAUGUAUGAUUGUAUAGAUGAAAGCUCCUUGAAUACAUAAUCUUCGCGUAUCAGUUUAUCCAAAAGGUUCACAAGCGAAGAUAUUACAACUGACAAAUCUUGGCUUGAAAUUAAGAUAGACGCCCUAUUUAAAGCCUCUGCAUGCCAGCCAAUAAAUGAAUAUACUUUUUCCGAAUUAA